rnacentral:rRNA from 1 species
UACGUAGGGUGCGAGCGUUGUCCGGAUUUAUUGGGCGUAAAGAGCUCGUAGGCGGCUUGUCGCGUCGGAUGUGAAAGCCCCGGGGCUUAACUCCGGGUCUGCAUUCGAUACGGGCAGGCUAGAGUGUGGUAGGGGAGAUCGAAUUCCUGGUGUAGCGGUGAAAUGCGCAGAUAUCAGGAGGAACACCGGUGGCGAAGGCGGUUCUCUGGGCAUGUCCUGACGUGAGGAGCGAAAGUGUGGGGAGCGAACAGG